UAAUACGUAGGUGGCGAGCGUUGUCCGGAAUUACUGGGUGUAAAGGGCGCGUAGGCGGGGAUGCAAGUCAGAUGUGAAAUUCCACGGCUCAACCGUGGGGCUGCAUCUGAAACUGUGUUUCUUGAGUGCUGGAGAGGAAAGCGGAAUUCUUAGUGUAGCGGUGAAAUGCGUAGAUAUUAGGAGGAACACCAGUGGCGAAGGCGGCUUUCUGGACAGUAACUGACGCUGAGGCGCGAAAGCGUGGGGAGCAAACAGGAUUAGAUACCCUGGUAGUCCACGCUGUAAACGAUGGAUACUAGGUGUAGGAGGUAUCGACCCCUUCUGUGCCGGAGUUAACACAAUAAGUAUCCCACCUGGGGAGUACGGCCGCAAGGCUGAAACUCAAAGGAAUUGACGGGGGCCCGCACAAGCAGUGGAGUAUGUGGUUUAAUUCGAAGCAACGCGAAGAACCUUACCAGGGCUUGACAUCCCUCGAAUAACGUAGAGAUACGUUAGUCCUUCGGGACGAGGAGACAGGUGGUGCAUGGUUGUCGUCAGCUCGUGUCGUGAGAUGUUGGGUUAAGUCCCGCAACGAGCGCAACCCUUGUCGUUAGUUGCCAGCACGUAAAGGUGGGCACUCUAGCGAGACUGCCGGUGAUAAAUCGGAGGAAGGUGGGGACGACGUCAAAUCAUCAUGCCCCUUAUGUCCUGGGCUACACACGUACUACAAUGGCUACUACAGAGGGUAGCGACGCCGUGAGGCUGAGCCAAUCCCGAAAGGUAGUCCCAGUUCGGAUUGUGGGCUGCAACUCGCCCACAUGAAGUCGGAAUUGCUAGUAAUGGCAGGUCAGCAUACUGCCGUGAAUACGUUCCCGGGCCUUGUACACACCGCCCGUCACACCAUGAGAGUCUGCAACACCCGAAGUCAGUAGUUUAACCCGUGAGGGAGGGCGCUGCCGAAGGUGGGGCAGAUGAUUGGGGUG
rnacentral:rRNA from 1 species